GGUUCCCAAGAGCAUUAUGUAAGAGAUUGCCCUGAGAGAAGAGAGGAAGAAAAUUUGCCAAGAGCUGGAUCGGGUGAUAUUGUUAGUAGAGGGAGACCGCCGAGAAAUGUGGGAAGCAAAGUCAGUGGUAAAAGUGUGAUGAAAGAUGCAACUGGAGGAUCAGAAAUUAGAGCGCCUGCCAGGACUUAUGCCAUACGUGCUCGAGAGGAUGCCUCAUCUCCCGAUGUGAUUACUGAUCAAGAAAGACGUGAAGAGUAUAUCAAACGGGGAAAAGAAAAGAUAGUGGAGUAAAGUGCAAAAUUACGAUAUUUUGCACCGAGUGACUUCCAACAACUCGGAAAUUGGAACGAAGUCAGACAAUCAUCUACACUAUCCUUCACAUUUGGGGUAUUUUACUACUAGUGUUCCGAAAUUUUAUGGCAUGUAUAGACAAUUUAUGUAAUGUGGGAUCAUCAUGUAAAUAUAUGUUAUGGUUCCCUUUUAAAUGUAGUGUUUAUUAAUAGUUAAACUAUAUGUGUGUUUAUACAAAUGAAA